rnacentral:rRNA from 1 species
UACGUAGGGUGCAAGCGUUGUCCGGAAUUAUUGGGCGUAAAGAGCUCGUAGGCGGCCUGUCGCGUCGGCUGUGAAAACCCGGGGCUCAACCCCGGGCCUGCGGUCGAUACGGGCAUCACUGGAGUUCGGUAGGGGAGAUCGGAAUUCCUGGUGUAGCGGUGGAAUGCGCAGAUAUCAGGAGGAACACCGGUGGCGAAGGCGGAUCUCUGGGCCAUAACUGACGCUGAGGAGCGAAAGCAUGGGGAGCGAACAGG